CCUACGGGAGGCAGCAGUAGGGAAUAUUGCUCAAUGGGGGAAACCCUGAAGCAGCAACGCCGCGUGGAGGAUGAAGGUUUUCGGAUUGUAAACUCCUUUUGUUAGAGAAGAUAAUGACGGUAUCUAACGAAUAAGCACCGGCUAACUCCGUGCCAGCAGCCGCGGUAAUACGGAGGGUGCAAGCGUUACUCGGAAUCACUGGGCGAAAAGAGCGCGUAGGCGGGAUAGCAAGUCAGAUGUGAAAUCCUAUGGCUUAACCAUAGAACUGCAUUUGAAACUGUUAUUCUAGAGUAUGGGAGAGGUAGGUGGAAUUCUAGGUGUAGGGGUAAAAUCCGUAGAGAUCAAGAGGAAUACUCAUUGCGAAGGCAGCAUACCGGCGCCCGACUGACGCUGAGGCACGAAAGCGUGGGGAUCGAACAGGAUUAGAUACCCUUGUAGUC
rnacentral:rRNA from 1 species